rnacentral:rRNA from 1 species
GUGCCAGCCGCCGCGGUAAGACGAACCGUCUAAACGUUAUUCGGUAUCACUGGGCUUAAAGCGUGCGUAGGCGGCCUGGUAGGUGAGAUGUGAAAGCCCACGGCUCAACCGUGGAAUUGCGUUUCAAACCACCAGGCUUGAGGAUGGCAGGGGUGAUGGGAACUGAUGGUGGAGCGGUGAAAUGCGUUGAUAUCAUCAGGAACACCGGUGGCGAAGGCGCAUCACUGGGCCAUUUCUGACGCUGAGGCACGAAAGCUAGGGUAGCGAACGGGAUUAGAAACCCCAGUAGUCC